GUUAUAUGGUCAAGUGAAGAAGCGCAUACGGUGGAUGCCUUGGCAGUCAGAGGCGAUGAAAGACGUGAUAGACUGCGAUAAGCUCCGGGGAGUCGGCAAAUAGACUGUGAUCCGGAGAUCUCUGAAUGGGGGAACCCACCUAGGAUAACCUAGGUAUCUUGUACUGAAUCCAUAGGUGCAAGAGGCGAACCAGGGGAACUGAAACAUCUAAGUANCCUGAGGAAUAGAAAUCAACCGAGAUUCCCUUAGUAGUGGCGAGCGAACGGGGACCAGCCCUUAAGCUGUGUUGAGAUUAGUGGAACGCUCUGGAAAGUGCGGCCAUAGUGGGUGAUAGCCCCGUACACGAAAAUCUCUUUGCAGUGAAAUCGAGUAGGACGGAGCACGAGAAACUUUGUCUGAACAUGGGGGGACCAUCCUCCAAGGCUAAAUACUACUGACUGACCGAUAGUGAACCAGUACCG
rnacentral:rRNA from 1 species